UACGUAGGGUGCGAGCGUUAAUCGGAAUACUGGGCGUAAAGCGUGCGCAGGCGGCGCGUUAAGACAGGUGUGAAAGCCCCGAGCUUAACUUGGGAAUUGCGCUUGUGACUGGCGUGCUGGAGUGUGGCAGAGGGAGGUGGAAUUCCACGUGUAGCAGUGAAAUGCGUAGAGAUGUGGAGGAACACCGAUGGCGAAGGCAGCCCUCCUGGGCCAGCACUGACGCUCAUGCACGAAAGCGUGGGGAGCAAACAGG
rnacentral:rRNA from 1 species